GACGAACGCUGGCGGCGUGCCUAACACGUGCAAGUCGAGCGAAUGAAGUUCCUUCGGGAAUGGAUUUAGCGGCGGACGGGUGAGUAACACGUGGGCAACCUGCCUCAUAGAGGGGAAUAGCCUUCCGAAAGGGAGAUUAAUACCGCAUAAGAUUGUAGUACCGCAUGAUACAGCAAUUAAAGGAGCAAUCCGCUAUGAGAUGGGCCCGCGGCGCAUUAGCUAGUUGGUGAGGUAACGGCUCACCAAGGCGACGAUGCGUAGCCGACCUGAGAGGGUGAUCGGGCACAUUGGGACUGAGUCACGGCCCAGACUCCUACGGGAGGCAGCAGUGGGGAAUAUUGCACAAUGGGGGAAACCCUGAUGCAGCAACGCCGCGUGAGUGAUGACGGCCUUCGGGUUGUAAAGCUCUGUCUUCAGGGACGAUAAUGACGGUACCUGAGGAGGAAGCCACGGCUAACUACGUGCCAGCAGCCGCGGUAAUAC
rnacentral:rRNA from 1 species